rnacentral:snRNA from 1 species
CGACCUCUAAGCUUCGCCUAGG